UUGCACCAUGGGAACAGCAGAUCUACUGUAUAUUAUCCUUGAGGUCAUACUGUACCGGAUUAAUCAUUAUUAUUUCCCUCUGAAUUUCUUGGAUAUGACCAUUGUCUGCAAAGUUUACUAUGUGCCACGCUGUGCUGCCACCGAUUGUUCUGUCUGGUUCACCAUCACUUUUACCUUUGAUUGAUUUGAUGCCAUUUGUUGCCUGAAGUUGAAAACGAAAUAUUGCACCAAGAAAAUUGCAACAGCAAUUCUCACAACAACAGGCAUUCUGCUCUAUUUUAAAAACAUUCCCACUUACUUCCGAUAUGAAACUUUGAGAAUCAUUAACAAUGUCGAGUGGUUCUGCGCUAACAGUGAAGCAUAAUGUGAAGAUCCCAUAUGGAUAGGAUUCAAGAGGUUUGAAAAGGUCGUAACUCCAAUGCUCCCAUUUGCUUUAAUUCUUUUGAUCAACACUCUGACAGUCAGGCACAUUUUAGUGGCCAGUCGGGCCCAUAAGAGACUGAGAGCUCAAACCAAGGGGCAGAACUCUUGUGACCCAAGAUGGAGAGCAGAAGAAAGUCUAUCAUUUUACUCUUCACAAUGUCCAGUGGUUUCAUCCUUCUAUGGUUGUGUUACCUUUUGAAAUAUCUUAGUACUUUCGAUAUAUUGUUCGAUAAAAGUUCUGAAUUUAUAUUCCAACAUGUCGCAAAUAUGCCUGGGGUAUAAACUGUUGCACAAACACUUUUAUUUAUGUAACAACACUCUCCAAGUUCAGAGAAAUAUUCACAAACACAUUGAUGUUUCCUUUUCAGCAAACUAUUCAUUACAUCAAGAAAACAAAUGUUAAUGCCACAUCACGUGAAGGGUAAUGGACAAUAGUGAUUGCUGGAUGAAUGAAGGAAAAGGAAGGUUCUGUAGCCGCAAAUCUGUCUAAUAUUAGCAUUGACGAAAAUGGUACUCAGAGCAUUAAUAUAAGAAUGUCAUUAAACAGCACAUUUAAGACACACCAGACUCUACUGUAUCAAGAACAAUGGAUGGGCAUAAAUAACUAGGGAAAGACCAGUGUCCUCUGGAGCAAAAAAUGAGUCAGAAUUCUGACCCCUGUCUGUCUGGAACUGGACAUGGGCCCCAUGCCCCGGACCCUGUCCUGUGACACGGUGUUUCACAAUCUGAGCCGUCUGAGGGAAAUCCUUUCGAACAGUAUAGAGGCAUUAUCUGUACGUGCUGCUGAUGCUGCACAUUCUCCACUGCUGCACCUUCGCCCGCUGCCUGGACAUGACUUGGUGCGACGUUUUGCUCUCCGUGGGCAGAGAACCCAAUCAGAGGGUCAUCUAUAAAGGGGUCCUCGCCUCUUACAUCGGGGACCUGUUGCGGAGCGUGCUGCAUGCAGCUGUCCCGCAGGUUAUGUCUGCACUGGAGUGUUCCUGGAGAGGCAGUGCGUAGUCAUCACUAUCAUGGUCAAGGCCUUUCAAGACUGGUGGGCACUGCGGAAGCUGGAGUACAUCGUCAGCCUGGAAAAUGCCGCUUGUGAUGCCAGAAGCUUGGCUCUGACUGCACACCUCCGAGGAACUAACACUCACAUCAGCUUCCAAAGUGGAAUUCAGGUUAGUGAUUGGGACCCCAGGAGAAUUUUCCUGCACUACCUCCCUGUUCUUUCUGGACUGUAUGAAGGUCACCCAUUCCCGUCUUUCCUCUAAUCCCUUGAGCUGCGGUAUGACUUCCUCUCCAAACAUGCUAUCCACAUAACUCUCAGUCUUGCGGAUGUGCCACACUGUGUCCAACCGCUGCUCAAGCUCCGUGAUGCAGAGCUCCAGCUUCUGCAGCUUGGAGCUCUUCCUGCACUUGUGGUCAUCUCGGACACUGAAAGCAUCCAGGACUCCCCACAUGUGACAAGCUACACAUUCCACUCAGCUGGCCUCUCCUAACGUGUCUUAGAUAUUUACAAAUUAACACCUUUCUGCCCUGCCUCUCCGUGAACUAAGUUCAAGGGUUUGAAGUUUACAAACUCUUGGCUCGCUAGGUAUACUUAGCUUGAUAAAGUGGAUUAAUUCUUACCAGACAGCAGAUCUUCUAUUCCUCUAUUAAUAUUGUUGUUAAAUUAUUAGGGUGGAAAUCUUCAUGUGCCAGUCACUAAGUAGGAUUAUCAUGACAUGUUUUCCUCUUAUUGUUGCAAAUUACAAACAUUGGAGAACAUGUAGGAGUGACUGCCCUUGACAUCAAGGACACAGUUGGCUAGUAAUAGCAUAAACAGCCAUCACACAACUGGAGGCAAUGAGAAUGGGGGCAAUCUCUCCUCUGUUUGGAGCCUUAUGGACGACAAUGAAAGAAAGUUGUUUUUGUUUAAGGGGGUACGUAACCCAGCUCUGGGACAUCUCUGCAGGAUUUGCUCAGUGUAAUGUCCCAGGCCCAACCACAAUGUCAAAGGGAAGGAUUUCCGUGAAUCAUUGCAUAAUGUUCAGCAAAAUAGAUUAAGAACGCUUAAGAUUAAGAAAGAAUCCAACUGAGGGUGGCAAAGAGACAUCACUGAGGAGCACUCUGAGAGAAGUCAGCUCAGUCACCACGAUGAAACAGCAGAUCACAGAAGAACCCCCACAGUAAGAAACAGGAGGAAGAGUAUCCAAGAGAGGGCAGCAGGGAGAUGUCACUGAGGAGCAUUCUAGAAUGUACCUCAAGGAAAAGGAAAGGAGAAUCAAAACAUCGGGGAGAAGGAGAGGAGUUCAUCUCAAUCCAAUAAUGCUUGAUGCGGCCCGUCAGGAACCAAGAGACUUCCUCUGCACCACAGUUCUGGGCAACCGGGAGAAGAGACACUCUGAAUAAGGAGCAGAACAUGACAGACACUCAGGCUGACACAGAACCGGAAAUCCCUGGAGUUAUCUUCGCCUCAAUGAUUCUGGACUGGGGAACAGUCCCAGGGAGGUGCAGGACAGUUACCUCUGAGGGUCUAACAAUUCGUCCACACCACAGGGAUGCAGGGAGACCCCAGUGAUGUGUCCUUGGGUAAACAGACACCAGGUUUCUGUCAAUUCUAUUCAUCUAAAAUGGGUUGAACCCUGGAUAAGCGCAGGAAGAACGAACCA